AAGUUUUGCUGCGUUUUUAUUAUUUAUUCAAAAACUUGCUUGUUGCUUGAAAGAAAUUUUGCUGAGUGUUUUUUUGUUGUUGAAAGUUGUGUUCCUGAAAGUUCCUUUUUUUUUUUAUUUGUUUUGUUGUUUUGUUUGUUUGAUAUAUUUUUGUUAAAAGUUUGUGUUGAAAGUUGAAAGUUUGCUUUGUUGACGAUAGGUUGAAAGCUGUCUGAAAGUUGUUUUGAAACUUGUUGCAGUGCUGCAAACUAUUUCUUAAAGUUUGAAACUUGAAAGAUUUGGAGAUUGAAAAAUUCUGAUUGUUUUUUUAUUUAUUUAUUUACUUUUUUUUUAAUUCUUUUUCUUUUUCCUUUUUUUUUAAACUUAUAUAAGUAAAAGUUGCUUUUAAAGUUGUUGCCGAAUUUGAAAGGUGAUUGAAUUUUGAUUUAAAGAACUUUGUGAUCAACCGUAACAAAAGCUUUUUGAAAAUUCACCUCACCUCAGAUGUGUUUUUGUUUUUAAAUUGUGGGAAGAUGGAUUUAUCAAUGAAAAAUAUUGGGAGACUUAUAUAACUAAGCUUGAAAAUCAGAAGCAAAAGUUUUUAAAAUAAACUGAAAAGCUAUUAAAAAUACAAGAAGAAACUUUUAUAAAAAUAAUGAGUUCCAACAUAAAAAUAAUAUCAGAAAGACUAGAUAAACUUGAUUUAGAACUUAGUUCUAAUAAAUCCCGAGUUGAUAUAUUAGUAAAAGAUACUUGCGACAUUAGGGAGUGCAUUAACUUUAAAGAGGAAAAUAUCAAGGUAAUGCUUUCUCAAUUAAAUUUAAAGAUCAAUGAAGAAAUAAAUACUUUGGAAAAAAAAUAUAGAUCUACAAAACAGAUCUCGCCGCAACAAUUUAAGAGUUGAUGGUGUUGCAGAUCUACCGUCUAAAACGUGAGAUGACUGUGCAAGAGCAGUUAAAAAGAUCUUUAAAAACCCGCUUGGAAUUGCCGAUGAUAUAGUGGUUAAGCGAGCCCAUCGAAUAGGAAGAAUUAAAGACAAGCUACCAAGAACUAUAGUCUUUAAACUCGUAAAUUAUAAUGAUAAAUGCAAUAUUUUAAGAUUUGUGAAAAAAACUUAAAGAAACUGGAACUUUUAUCAAUGAAGAUUACGCGAAAGAAACCCUAGAACAUUGCAAAAAGUGUGGAAAGAAGUUUAAAGGCAUCGUAAAGAGGGUAAAUAUGCAUUAAUUAAAUUCGAUUAAGUUUUUCUUAAAGAUAUGCAUAUUUAAAAUAUCGUAGUCGUGGAAAUGAAAGGAAAUUUUAAAUCUCACCGAAAUGGCUGAAAUUAGCGAUUUUAAGUAUCAAGCUUUUAAUUUUUCAAAAAUGAAAACUUUAAUAGAUAAAAAUGCAAAAAAAGACCCUAACUAUUUUCAUGAUUUAAAUAAUGAUUGUUUUUGUUAUUAUCCAAGUAAAAUAGAAGGGUCUCUUUUUAAUUCCAAUAAUAGCGAACAAUUUAAAAUCCUUUAUGUAAAUAUUAGAAGCAAAAGUCGCAACUUUGAAAA